rnacentral:rRNA from 1 species
CGUUGGUUCUAUUUUGUUGGUUUCUAGGACCGCCGUAAUGAUUAAUAGGGAUAGUCGGGGGCAUCAGUAUUGAAUUGUCAGAGGUGAAAUUCUUGGAUUUAUUCAAGACUAACUACUGCGAAAGCAUUUGCCAAGGAUGUUUUCAUUAAUCAGUGAACGAAAGUUAGGGGAUCGAAGACGAUCAGAUACCGUCGUAGUCUUAACCAUAAACUAUGCCAACUAGCGAUCGGAUGGUGUUUCAUUUUUGACCCAUUCGGCAGCUUGUGAGAAAUCAAAGUUUUUGGGUUCCGGGGGGAGUACGGUCGCAAGAUUGAAACUUAAAGCAAUUGACGGAAGGGCACCACAAGGCGUGGAGCCUGCGGCUUAAUUUGACUCAACACGG